rnacentral:lncRNA from 1 species
GAAAACUAUGAACAGAAUGCUAUAUAUGGUGUAGAUUCUGUGACCCCAAAUGCUGGCAAAUAUGUAGUAGAGCUCAAUAUAAAUAGCACUAAAUGGCAGAAAACCAGCCAUCGCCAUCUGAGGCAGAGUCUUCCGGUACCAAGGCAAAGGUGGAAUUUCUCUAGGAUAUUUUGUGGUGCGACAAGGAGCUUGAAACUCUGCCUUACUAUUCUUCCCAGCAAUCCCACCCAACACUAGUAAAGGUGAUGUUACCAAAGUCCAUAUAAGAAAAAUGACCACAAUUGUUCCAAAUGGCAAUGCAGCAGUGGCAUUAUACGCAAUUGCGACAGUGUUGAGAAAGCAAAAUGUGAGAAAAAGAGGUCCACAGAAAAGGCUUCCAGUCAAUAACAAAU